GCAAUGGGCAACCGGCGAACGGGUGCGUAACACGUGAGCAACCUACCGAACUGUGGGGGAUAGCCGGCCUAACGGCCGAGUAAUACCGCAUACGCUCUCAGAGAGGCAUUUCUUUGAGAGGAAACCUACGGGACAGAUCGAGGGGCUCGCGGCCUAUCAGCUAGUUGGCGAGGUAACGGCUCACCAAGGCAACGACGGGUAGCUGGUCUGAGAGGAUGGCCAGCCACAUUGGGACUGAGAUACGGCCCAGACUCCUACGGGAGGCAGCAGUGGGGAAUCUUGCGCAAUGGCCUAACGGCUGACGCAGCGACGCCGCGUGUGGGAUGAAGCUCUUCGGAGUGUAAACCACUGUUGCCCGGGACGAAUAGCUCGAUUAAUCGAGCCUGACGGUACCGGGUGAGGAAGCACCGGCUAACUCCGUGCCAGCAGCCGCGGUAAUACGGGGGGUGCGAGCGUUGUCCGGAAUCACUGGGCGUAAAGGGCGCGUAGGUGGUUUGAUAAGGGUGUGGUGAAAGUCCGGGGCUCAACCCCGGAUCUGCCGUGCCGACUGUCAAACUCGAGGACUGUAGAGGCAGACGGAAUUCCGGGUGUAGCGGUGGAAUGCGUAGAGAUCCGGAGGAAGACCGGUGGCGAAGGCGGUCUGCUGGGCAGUUUCUGACACUGAGGCGCGACAGCGUGGGGAGCAAACAGGAUUAGAUACCCUGGUAGUCCACGCCGUAAACGAUGGGU
rnacentral:rRNA from 1 species